AAUCACCCAGGCUCCCCCCUUCCUGCCCGCUCACCUGCACCGCACGAAGCCCCCCCGGUUCGCGUAGACCCCCAUGGCGAUGCUCUUUCUUUGCUCUCCGCAUUCCUGCGGGCUGUUUGCACCCAAAUCACUCCAAAUCGGGACCUUGGGGGGGAUGGAGCAGCCCCGGGACCACCCCCCCGGCAUCUCCCGGUCCCCCCGGGGGUCACCGCGCAUCCCCGGGACCGGAGCGGGGAAAGGGGACACGAGCUAGGGACGGGGUUUGGAUGGCUCUGGGGGGGCUCUGUCCGUCCUUCUGUCCCUCUGUCCCUCUGUCCCUCUGUCUGUCCGUCCGUCCGCGUGCCCGCGUGCGCGUGCCCGCGCCGCCGCCGCCCCCGCGAGCGGGCGCUGCCGGCUGCGGCGCGGCCCCGGCGGGCGGCGGGAGCAUGGAGGCGGCGGCGGGGCCAGGUGAGGAGGCACCGGGCAGGGGUCGGGGCCGGGGUCGGGGGGAGCAGCAGGGUUAAAGGGUCGCUGGAGGGGUUCCCUGGGGCCGCUGCCCGCUGCUCGUUGUCUGGGGGGGGGGUUCUACCAAGCCCGCUGCCCGCUCGGGCCGCCCCAAGGCGAGAGCGGGCGUCCCGAAAUCCCCCUGCAUCACGGCACGCUGAGAUCCCGGGUGCCUGCAUCCUGAAAUCGCGGGUCUCUGCCUCCCUGCAGCUCUGCAUCCCUGCUUCAUUGCAUCCCGGGUCCCUGCAUCCCGAAAUCCCAGGUCCCGGCAUCACAGCAUCCCAAAAUCCUGGGUCCCUGCAUCCUGAAAUCCCGGGUCCCUUCCUCACUGCCUCCCUGCAUCCCGAGUCCCUUCAUCCCGAAAUCCUGGGACCCUGCAUCCCAAAAUCCCAGGUCCCUGCAUCCUGGCAUCCUGGGUCCCUGCAUCACAGCAUCCCAAAAUGCCGGCGUCCCUGCAUCCCAGGUCCCUGCAUCCCUUCACCCCAGCAUCACAGCAUCCCUGGUCCCUGCCUCCCUGCAUCCCAAAAUCCCAGGUCCCUGCAUCCCAGCACCCUGGUCCCUGCCUCCCUCCAUCCCUCCCGGCACCCCAAAAUCAGCGGCUGUAUGCAGCAGCGCUGUGAAUACCCCCCUGGGCAUACCGCCUGCCCCGAAGGGAAAGGAAAUGAUUUGGGGGGACUUGAAAUAAUCAUAAUUCCAGUUUGUAUCCGGGCCUUCCUGCGGCAAGGUUACCCGGUGUGCGUGCAGCACGGAAGCGCUGCUACGGAGCGCGGAUACGCAGCCGCCUGCAGCACAUCUGCUGCGGGGCUGACCUUCAGCACUGUGUGCUCCGUGAGACAAACACGGCGCUGCCUUCCCCACGACAGCCCUGCUUCAGGCCCGACAGAAGGGGAAAAAAAAAGAAAAAAAAGGCAAAAUUUGUGGCUGCUGCGGGAGGGGCGGGCUUGGUGGCCUCCCGACCUCCACUGGCCGCUGUGGUGCAGGUAUAUGGCUGUCCUGCCCAUCAGUGCUGCUGGAUCGCCUGAAAUCAGGAGAUUUUUAAUGUUUUUCUGA
rnacentral:lncRNA from 1 species